rnacentral:tRNA from 1 species
GCGCCCGUAGCUCAGCUGGAUAGAGCGUCGGCCUCCGAAGCCGAAGGUCUCAGGUUCGAAUCCUGUCGGGCGCACCA